AAUGAACGCUGGCGGCAUGCCUUACACAUGCAAGUCGAACGGCAGCAUGACCUAGCUUGCUAGGUUGAUGGCGAGUGGCGAACGGGUGAGUAAUGCAUCGGAACGUGCCUUUUAGUGGGGGAUAACGUAGCGAAAGUUACGCUAAUACCGCAUAUUCUCUGAGGAGGAAAGCAGGGGACCUUCGGGCCUUGCGCUAGAAGAGCGGCCGAUGUCGGAUUAGCUAGUUGGUGAGGUAAAGGCUCACCAAGGCAACGAUCCGUAGCGGGUCUGAGAGGAUGAUCCGCCACACUGGGACUGAGACACGGCCCAGACUCCUACGGGAGGCAGCAGUGGGGAAUUUUGGACAAUGAGCGCAAGCCUGAUCCAGCCAUGCCGCGUGAGUGAAGAAGGCCUUCGGGUUGUAAAGCUCUUUCGGCUGGGAAGAAAUCGCACCCUCUAAUACAGGGUGUGGAUGACGGUACCAGCAUAAGAAGCACCGGCUAACUACGUG
rnacentral:rRNA from 1 species